rnacentral:rRNA from 1 species
GAGGACCGAACCGACUAAUGUUGAAAAAUUAGCGGAUGACCUGUGGCUGGGGGUGAAAGGCCAAUCAAACCGGGAGAUAGCUGGUUCUCCCCGAAAGCUAUUUAGGUAGCGCCUCGUGAAUUCAUCUCCGGGGGUAGAGCACUGUUUCGGCUAGGGGGCCAUCCCGGCUUACCAACCCGAUGCAAACUGCGAAUACCGGAGAAUGUUAUCACGGGAGACACACGGCGGGUGCUAACGUCCGUCGUGAAGAGGGAAACAACCCAGACCGCCAGCUAAGGUCCCAAAGUCAUGGUUAAGUGGGAAACGAUGUGGGAAGGCCCAGACAGCCAGGAUGUUGGCUUAGAAGCAGCCAUCAUUUAAAGAAAGCGUAAUAGCUCACUGGUCGAGUCGGCCUGCGCGGAAGAUGUAACGGGGCUAAACCAUGCACCGAAGCUGCGGCAGCGAACGUAUCACCCAAGACAACUUUACGGAGUUGACGAUUGACGGAGCGAAGCGACGUCAAAGCGUUCAUUAAAGUCGAGUUGGCUUAGGGAUACGUUCGUUGGGUAGGGGAGCGUUCUGUAAGCCUGUGAAGGUGUGUCGUGAGGCAUGCUGGAGGUAUCAGAAGUGCGAAUGCUGACAUAAGUAACGAUAAAGCGGGUGAAAAGCCCGCUCGCCGGAAGACCAAGGGUUCCUGUCCAACGUUAAUCGGGGCAGGGUGAGUCGACCCCUAAGGCGAGGCCGAAAGGCGUAGUCGAUGGGAAACGGGUUAAUAUUCCCGUACUUGGUGUUACUGCGAAGGGGGGACGGAGAAGGCUAUGUUGGCCGGGCGACGGUUGUCCCGGUUUAAGCGUGUAGGUGUGUGUUCCAGGUAAAUCCGGUUCACUUUAACACUGAGGCGUGACGACGAGGCACUACGGUGCUGAAGCAACAAAUGCCCUGCUUCCAGGAAAA